rnacentral:rRNA from 1 species
AUUGAACGCUGGCGGCAUGCCUUACACAUGCAAGUCGAACGGCAGCACGGGAGCAAUCCUGGUGGCGAGUGGCGAACGGGUGAGUAAUAUAUCGGAACGUGCCCAGUCGUGGGGGAUAACGCAGCGAAAGCUGUGCUAAUACCGCAUACGAUCUACGGAUGAAAGCGGGGGAUCGCAAGACCUCGCGCGAUUGGAGCGGCCGAUAUCAGAUUAGCUAGUUGGUGGGGUAAAAGCCCAACAAGGCGACGAUCUGUAGCCGGUCUGAGAGGACGACCAGACAUACUGGAACUGAGACACGGUCCAGAGUCCUACGGGAGGCAGCAGUGGGGAAUUUUGGACAAUGGGCGUAAGCCUGAUCCAGCAAUGCCGCGGGCAGGAUGAAGGCCUUCGGGUUGUAAACUGCUUUUGUACGGAACGAAACGGCUCUUUCUAAUAAAGAGGGCUAAUGACGGUACCGUAAGAAUAAGCACCGGCUAACUACGUGCCAGCAGCCGCCGUAA